AAGGCCGAGAGCUGAUGACGAGUCGUCUUUUAGAUGACGAAGUGGUUGAUGCCAUGCUUCCAAGAAAAGCUUCUAAGCUUCAGGUAACCAGGAACCGUACCCCAAACCGACACAGGUGGUCGGGUAGAGAAUACCAAGGCGCUUGAGAGAACUCGGGUGAAGGAACUAGGCAAAAUGGCACCGUAACUUCGGGAGAAGGUGCGCCGGCUAGGGUGAAGGAUUUACUCCGUAAGCUCUGGCUGGUCGAAGAUACCAGGCCGCUGCGACUGUUUAUUAAAAACACAGCACUCUGCAAACACGAAAGUGGACGUAUAGGGUGUGACGCCUGCCCGGUGCCGGAAGGUUAAUUGAUGGGGUUAGCGCAAGCGAAGCUCUUGAUCGAAGCCCCGGUAAACGGCGGCCGUAACUAUAACGGUCCUAAGGUAGCGAAAUUCCUUGUCGGGUAAGUUCCGACCUGCACGAAUGGCGUAACGAUGGCGGCGCUGUCUCCACCCGAGACUCAGUGAAAUUGAAAUCGCUGUGAAGAUGCAGUGUAUCCGCGGCUAGACGGAAAGACCCCGUGAACCUUUACUGUAGCUUUGCACUGGACUUUGAGCCUGCUUGUGUAGGAUAGGUGGGAGGCUUUGAAGCGUGGACGCCAGUUCGCGUGGAGCCAUCCUUGAAAUACCACCCUGGCAUGCUUGAGGUUCUAACUCUGGUCCGUAAUCCGGAUCGAGGACAGUGUAUGGUGGGCAGUUUGACUGGGGCGGUCUCCUCCUAAAGAGUAACGGAGGAGUACGAAGGUGCGCUCAGACCGGUCGGAAAUCGGUCGCAGAGUAUAAAGGCAAAAGCGCGCUUGACUGCGAGACAGACACGUCGAGCAGGUACGAAAGUAGGUCUUAGUGAUCCGGUGGUUCUGUAUGGAAGGGCCAUCGCUCAACGGAUAAAAGGUACUCCGGGGAUAACAGGCUGAUACCGCCCAAGAGUUCAUAUCGACGGCGGUGUUUGGCACCUCGAUGUCGGCUCAUCACAUCCUGGGGCUGAAGCCGGUCCCAAGGGUAUGGCUGUUCGCCAUUUAAAGUGGUACGCGAGCUGGGUUUAGAACGUCGUGAGACAGUUCGGUCCCUAUCUGCCGUGGACGUUUGAGAUUUGAGAGGGGCUGCUCCUAGUACGAGAGGACCGGAGUGGACGAACCUCUGGUGUUCCGGUUGUCACGCCAGUGGCAUUGCCGGGUAGCUAUGUUCGGAAAAGAUAACCGCUGAAAGCAUCUAAGCGGGAAACUUGCCUCAAGAUGAGAUCUCACUGGGAACUUGAUUCCCCUGAAGGGCCGUCGAAGACUACGACGUUGAUAGGCUGGGUGUGUAAGCGUUGUGAGGCGUUGAGCUAACCAGUACUAAUUGCCCGUGAGGCUUGACCAU
rnacentral:rRNA from 1 species